rnacentral:rRNA from 1 species
GAUGAACGCUAGCGGGAGGCCUAACACAUGCAAGCCGAGCGGUAUUGUUUCUUCGGAAAUGAGAGAGCGGCGUACGGGUGCGGAACACGUGUGCAACCUGCCUUUAUCUGGGGGAUAGCCUUUCGAAAGGAAGAUUAAUACUCCAUAAUAUAUUGAACGGCAUCGUUUAAUAUUGAAAGCUCCGGCGGAUAGAGAUGGGCACGCGCAAGAUUAGCUAGUUGGUGAGGUAACGGCUCACCAAGGCGAUGAUCUUUAGGGGGCCUGAGAGGGUGAUCCCCCACACUGGUACUGAGACACGGACCAGACUCCUACGGGAGGCAGCAGUGAGGAAUAUUGGUCAAUGGGUGCAAGCCCGAACCAGCCAUCCCGCGUGAAGGACGACUGCCCUAUGGGUUGUAAACUUCUUUUGUAUAGGGAUAAACCUACCCUCGUGAGGGUAGCUGAAGGUACUAUACGAAUAAGCACCGGCUAACUCCGUGCCAGCCGCCGCAGUAAGAC